rnacentral:lncRNA from 1 species
AAGCCAUGGUUUACCAAAUCCGUGCACUGUUGGACUGGUUAUCCAACGCAACAGGUGAAUCAUUUACUUCUAAUUAUGAAAUAUAUAACUUUCGUCGAUGAUUAACCAUUCUAAAGAAAUGUUAAAAGUUCACAGAUAACACUGUAUUAUAUCAAUGCGUCUUUGCGUACAUUUUCCCCCUCUGCAUUAUUUUAUUCAUAGAUAGUUUCUGUGUCAUUUCCUAACGAGCUGUAAACAUUUUGGAUGAUUUCAGUGGAUAACAAAUGUUUUUCUUUGCAUUAACUACAUCUGUAAGCUUUGUAUAUGAACUUGUAAUUGAACUUGCUGACCGUCAUUGCAAUAAUUUUAAACUUGUGAGUGAAAAUUAAAAUUAAAAAAAAAAGAUCUCCAAAGAAAAUUCAAAACUGAAAGUUGUUUAUAAAAUGGCAAAGUCAAACGCUCAAAAAAGUAAAAGAACACUAUUUUCAUAUGUCAUUGUCACAAUUUUUAACAGGUAGUAAAAGACAACUUUUUGAUAUAUGAUAAUCCCAUUUUAGGGUAAAUGACAUUUAACACAUUGUUAUUUUAUUGUUGUAGACGGUUUCUGAUGGUAUAUAUUGGUAUUACUUGUUAGAGUUAGCAUUUUACAUUUCAUCAAUAGUCACCAUAUGUACAGACCAUAAAAGAAAGGUAAAAAUAACAACACCUGUUUUAUUCAAAUUGGGUAUCUAAUUUUCCCAUCAUGACAAUACUUUUUAAAUGAAAAAAAACUUGUUUUGGAACUAUUCUUAAGAAAUGUUUGCAAUUUUAAAAAAAAUCUUGUGAUAAAUAAAAAGAAAUUAGGAUAAUACUUCAACGAGGAAGCAUCCCAACGACAAAUUAUCUAGCAAUCAUAAUUCACUUUUGCUAAAUAACCUGCCAAUUUUACUUUUAAUAAGCCAUAUAAUGUCAGAAAAGAUAAUGAUAUAACAUUCCAGAAUAGAUUUUGGUGAUAUGAUCUUCGCUAUAACGAUUGAUAUGAUAUCCACAACUUUCUUGUAAACAUUUAAAAAGUUCAGUUAGUCAAAUUAUUUCGAAUGUUCUACUAAUUUAUGUGGGAGCAGUGAAUGCCAUCUUUCACUUCAAUAGAAACGUAAAUGAGCAUUCAUACAAGUCCUUUUUUUGGUAGGUUUGAAAUGAAUUUUUGAGUAUUAUGGCAAUGCCUUCUACUUUCAGGAUUUCGUUGAAAUGUCUGUUCAUCACAUAGUAACAAUACUCCUCAUAGGACUAUCAUGGAAUUAUAAUGCUGUAAGAGUUGGAACACUAGUAAUAUGCAUACACGAUCCUGUAGAUUAUAUCUUAGCA